GAUCAUCCGCUAUCAAAAGCCAACCUCUCGCUUCUCGAUAUUUCCAAAUCCCUGUCAUCUCUCCCCCUCUCAUUUCUUUCUUCACCACUCAUCUCUCUUUGCCUUAUCCUCUCUCGCUGAAGAAGCCGGGCGUGCGGGCAGCUAGCCGCUGGCCGCUGCCGCGGAGCACGCGGGCUCCGCUUGCCCGCGGAGCGCGAGGAGCUGCCGGGCGUGCGGGCAGCUAGCCGCUGGCCGCUGCCGCCGCCAGGCGCUGCCGUGGUGCGCCGGCAUCGUGCUGGGCCCCGCGCGGAAGCUCGUCACCGACGAGACCCCCGCCGUGUACACGACGAGUACUACAAGAAGUUCUGGAGCAGGAACCUGGACCAGGAGCACUGCUUGGAGCUCUUCAGGACCUAGCCGCCGGCGGCCGGAAGCCCUUCUUCUUCAGAAAAGUUUGGUUGUUCGUCUUCAACGUUCUGCAAAUAAGCUCUACCCGGCGGCGAGCGGAUCCACCCGGUGGCGAGCAACGACGAGCGGCUCCGCGUGGCUGGCGAGGAGCUCCGCAGCGGGUGAGCCGCUCCGCGCGGCCGGCGAGGAGCUCCGUGGCGGGUGGCGGGCGAGCGACUCCCGCGCCCGCCACUCCCGGCAGGCGAGGGUCUCCGCGGCGACGAGCGUCGAGCAGCUCCGCGUCGAGCCGUGAAGUGUGGGCGGCCGCCGAGGAGUCCCACUGGGCGAGCGAGAAGCCGCCGCUGUGGGUGAUUUUUUUCUUUUUUUUCUUAUUUUUCUGAAAUAGAGAUGCAUGUGAAAUUGUAUGGAUUCUAUCUAUCUUGUGAUCGAUUCUCUGAAUGAUUUGCGAAAUCUAUAGAUUGUAUCUAUAUUUUGUGGUA